AGGACGAACGCUGGCGGCGUGCUUAACACAUGCAAGUCGAACGGAAAGGCCCUUUCGGGGGUGCUCGAGUGGCGAACGGGUGAGUAACACGUGGGUGAUCUGCCCUGCACUUUGGGAUAAGCCUGGGAAACUGGGUCUAAUACCGAAUACACCUUGCUGGCUGCAUGGCUGGUGGGGGAAAGCUUUUGCGGUGUGGGAUGGGCCCGCGGCCUAUCAGCUUGUUGGUGGGGUGAUGGCCUACCAAGGCGACGACGGGUAGCCGGCCUGAGAGGGUGUCCGGCCACACUGGGACUGAGAUACGGCCCAGACUCCUACGGGAGGCAGCAGUGGGGAAUAUUGCACAAUGGGCGCAAGCCUGAUGCAGCGACGCCGCGUGAGGGAUGACGGCCUUCGGGUUGUAAACCUCUUUCAGUAUCGACGAAGCGCAAGUGACGGUAGGUACAGAAGAAGCACCGGCCAACUACGCGCCAGCAGCCGCGGU
rnacentral:rRNA from 1 species